GGCUUCAACUUAUUAUUAUUAUUUUUUUUAUUUCCUCUAUCCCACCCCCUACCCCCACCCCCGACACGCUCUUGUUGCCCCCUCCUGCUCCUCUCGCUUUCUGCAUCCUUCUCUUUGGCACUGUGAAACCAACUAUGUCCACGCGGAGUUUGUGUGCAUGUGUGAUGUGUGCGCGCGUGAGUGCGCGGGGAAAAACUUGAGGCACGUCCACGCCAGCCGCAACCACCUUUGCCAACAUCAAACCGGGCAGCUCCCAUCUGACUUGGUCUCUGAUAGCCGCCAACGCCACGCCACGUCGAGAUUGACGGACAAUUAAAGAGCAGGAGGCGACUGCCGGGCCGUGUGAUGUGUAAGGGCUCCUCCGACAUCUAAAAUGAAGAGUUAGCUUUUUUUUUUUUUCUGAUCCCUUUCGCGAGGACAAGAAGGAGAACAAGCUAGCCCGGGCACAAACAAAUGUUUGCACUGGAGAGCUAUUGAUUUGCUAUCUUCUCAGCUAUUCACUGACACACGCAUACACACACAAAUACACAUGGAUACAAACAUCCGCAUGUGAAAUGAAGCCACCGAUGCCGGAUUGAGUCAAUAAAGAAUUUAAAACAA